AAGGCUAAUGUUAUUGCCUUGGUGAAGAAAUCUCCGGAGCUGAAGAAAAAAGCGCUGAGGUGAUUCAUAAAUGGACUGUGAGGAUCCUCUGGGACCAUAAUUAGACAAGUCUCAGUCUCUCUAUCUCGCUUUUUCUCUCUCAGAUGAUGGAUUGACAUCCUUGGCGUGGUCUGGGAACUAAUUCAUCAGGUUUUAGUGAGAGUUUUAGCCGUUAAUUGGACAGUUCCUUACCUCAGUUCGGCAGCGCGCGAAUCGCUAGUCCAACGGUUCAGCUCUUGAAUAUUAAGUAGAUCGUGAUGACGUUGCCGAUAGCCUUCCAAUCGCAAACGAGUCUCUUGUAAACUUGAGUUAAAUUAUUCUGACGUCGCCCGCCGACCUUCCAAUAGCAAAAGCUCGAUCUUUAAAUAUUAAUUACGUCUUUCUGACGUCGCUUGGUAUUCGUCAAAUGGCUAAUACAUGGCUCAUGAAUACUAAGAGGCAAACCUUCACCAUAGUAGGAUUGGUAAAUUCUCGUCGGAGUUCGAUGUGAAAUGACAUGAUCUGGAGAGGUUCACUUCACUUCCAACAUCCUCAUGUGAACACUACGGUCACAAUACUUGAUUCAGUGCGGGCACAGGCCGCCCCAGGACACAGCUGGACGGCAUCUGCAAAGCAUUUGGAUGUGAAGUGGGUGGGUGGGAGGUGCGGCUGUGGUGGGGAGGGUUCCUGGCACCGUGAUUUGGUGGAUAAACAGAAAUGAAAAUCACAUUGCCAGGGAUUUCCACCCCUGCACAGUUCUCCAGGUGCCCCACAUCUACGCCGCCUCCCGCUGGUACGUGUCCAGCUCCUGACUGGGUGUAUUUUGAAGAUCCUGUAACAACAGACAAAGAACCACAGAGAUUUGUCUGAAUUAUUUAUCAUUCAUCAAAAUUUACUUGCUCCACCUAGGAAAUGAUUUUACCUUAAUGAAAAGCAUGAUUAUCUUACUAAUGCUCAUACUUGGGGUUAUGUAUUUAAACAAACCCCUAACCAUAAGAAUUAAUCUUUGGUUGCUUGCUUUUCUAAGGAAUCCAACUUGUUUUUGCCUGGUGGAUGAUAAAAUGUGCAAAAACAUCCCAGGACAAAGCGUGACGAACCAAAAUAGAGCCCCUUUGACUUUGCAAUAGCAAUGCUCUGGCAACUCAAGUCAUAUUUAGGAACUACAGUAAAGCUUUUUUUGACUUUGACUACUAAGCAGUCACCAAAAAAACCACAUAGUAAUGUGCUGAAGCCACUAAAGUCACUUUAGCAACUGCAUAGCAACACCCUGGCAACUCGAGUCAUAUUUAACCACCAGAGUAAAGCUCUUUUGACUUUGACCGCCAAGCAGUUGCCAUUGCAACCAAAUAACAACAUGCUAAAUGUUGCACAAAACACAUUAGCAACUGCAUAGCAACACCAUGGCAACAUAUUACGUAGAGUUUUGCAAGAAAAAAACACCAUGUCAGAAAAUGUAAAACUCGACUUAUAUUAAGGCACCAGAGUAAAGCUCUUUUGACUUUGACCUCUAAGCAAUCAGUAUAGCUAAACACCUUAGCAACGCCCCAGCAACAACCAACAACAAGCUUGCAUUGCGAUGGUGAGUUUUGCAAGAAAAAAACACCACUUCAGAAAAUUUUAAACUUUCUUGAGGAACUCGAGUCAUAUUUAGGCACCAAAGUUAAAGCUCUUUUGACUUUUGACCAUUAAGCAAUUACCAUAGCAACCACAUAGCAACAUGCUAAAGCUACUAAAACCACACCUUAGCAACCGCAUGGCAAUGCCCUGGCAACCACCAACAACACCCUUGCAUUGUGAUGGUGAGAGUUUUGCACUGACAAACGCCACUCACAUGUUCUUCUGAAAAUGUAAAACUCUCUUUUUUAAUUAACUGCUUACCACAACAUAUUGAGAUUCAGUUUUUUGUUUAUAUAACCCCUUUGGCAUUUAGUUCAUGUGAGUGCAACUGCUUGGUAUGUUUAAUAACACAAACAGUGACUCAUCGCUUUGGAAAUAUCAUGUUUCCUCAGGAAUGACAGAUAAUGGCUUACUGGAAUAUCGGCGAAGGCAAAAGGGCAUUUGGCAAGUUUCAAAAAAUGUAGAUGCAAACCUCAUUUGACACCCACAGCGCUGAUAUCAGAUGAUACGUUAUGAAUGACUGAAAAAUCCUGAAUAAAACAAUGCUGACUGGCCGGCGGUUCUAUAUU
ensembl:lncRNA